GCUAGAUGUAGUGGCAUGUGGCUGUAGUCCCAGCUACUCAGGAGGUUGAAGCAGGAGAUCACUUGAGCCCAGGGCCAGCCUGGGCAACACAGCGAGACCCUGUCCAU
rnacentral:sRNA from 1 species